rnacentral:rRNA from 1 species
UACGUAGGGGGCGAGCGUUGUCCGGAUUUAUUGGGCGUAAAGAGCGUGUAGGCGGCCCGGUAAGUCUGCUGUAAAAGUCAAAGGCUUAACCUUUGAAAGUCAGUGGAUACUGCCGGGCUAGAGUCCGGAAGAGGCGAGUGGAACUCCUGGUGUAGCGGUGGAAUGCGCAGAUAUCAGGAAGAACACCAACGGCGAAGGCAGCUCGCUGGGACGGAACUGACGCUGAGGCGCGAAAGCGUGGGGAGCAAACAGG